rnacentral:rRNA from 1 species
AUUGAACGCUGGCGGCAGGCUUAACACAUGCAAGUCGAGCGAGCGGCGGACGGGUGAGUAAUGUCUGGGAAACUGCCUGAUGGAGGGGGAUAACUACUGGAAACGGUAGCUAAUACCGCAUACCAUCAGAUGUGCCCAGAUGGGAUUAGAUAGUAGGUGGGGUAAUGGCUCACCUAGGCGACGAUCCCUAGCUGGUCUGAGAGGAUGACCAGCCACACGGGAACGGAGACACGGUCCAGACUCCUACGGGAGGCAGCAGUGGGGAAUAUUGCACAAUGGGCGCAAGCCUGAUGGAGCCAUGCCGCGUGUGUGAAGAAGGCCUUCGGGGUGUAAAGCACUUUAAGUUGGGAGGCGUUACCAACAGAAUAAGCACCGGCUAACUUCGUGCCAGCAGCCGCGGUAAUUC